ACCUUGCUAAGAAGCACUCAUCAAUAACAGAAGUCUGCAACCUUUCCACCUUUGUGGACCGGCGGGAGUCAGGAGGGGGGGGGAAGAGGAUGGUCCUGCACGAGCUGCAGGUGAGCACGCUCACAGGUGUGCAGCACCAUUCGCAUGAGUGCCGGGCACGUGCACCCUCUGCUAGCGCAAACAGAGCCGUGCGCACAAAUGGAGCUGCGCUUGCGCUAAACUACCGCUUCCACGGUCUGGUUCUGAACGGGCCGCAGCCCGGUAGUGUGCUGUGGCCUCCGGGGGUUGGGGACCUCUGGCUGAUAAGGUUUAUUUCUAUACUUUUAAAAGCACUGCAGGAGGCGGAGAGGCUAAAUCUCCGUCUUUGACUUCGCUUCUUCAGUUGCAAAAUAAACAAAACGAAACCCAAAGUCAUGUUUUCCUUCUCCGGAUAACGACAAAAGAAAGACUCCCUCGUCUCUCUCCCUCUCUGCGAUGCCGUCCCUUCUGCAGAAACCAACCUGUUUGGCGAAGACAGCAAUGUCUUCAUUGAAGGAAUCCGAUGAGCAGACGUCUCCUCCGGGGGAACAUCAUCAGUGCUAGAAGAGGAGGAG